CCUAGGAACGACAUCCCGGAACGUUUACAAUCUCCCUUGCCGUCGGGAGAACCGAUCUGAACGUUUACGCUCUCUCUCUCUCGAAAAAAAAUGACAGAAUGACCCUUGCAUAAAGAAAUUCGUUUGAUCUGCUUUGGAAAAUGAUGGAAAAUGGAUUGCAUUUGAAGAAGCAAACUGGAAACUUUGCUAGAACCGGAUUAAGUCAAGUUAGUGAGUUUACCGAAUUUGUUUACUAACCAAAUGGAUUAAAGAUCUUAAUCUUAAACCACGUGCAAGUUAAAUACUUGAUUAAUCCAUUCCUCCCUACUAUUUUAUUUAUACAACAGCAUUUGCCAAUUUCGUUUUCUUCAUGUGUACCUCACAUUUUUGUUUAAAAUUUUUUCAAAAUUUAAAAAAACAAAGAUUAACGAAUUAUAGUUAAACUACCGAAAUAUAAUCAAAUUGGAUAAAAGUAAUUUAUAUCGAAAGGCAGCUGCAACAAGAGACAUGAAAUAAAUUAAAGAAUUUUUGAAAAAAUGACAAUUAUAAUGUCUCUGUAUUGUACAUAAUAUAUUAAUGUAAAUAACUAUUUAUUUUAACAGCAAAAUCAAAAUAAAUAGUAUACGAGCCAAUGAGAAAUACCUUUCUCAAAGAGCAUAAAUUAAUUAAAUAAAAUAUCUAAAUUUAAUUGAAAUAUAGAAAUAUACAUUUCUACAUUAAAUUAAAUUUAUUAACCCUUUCAAACUUUUAAAUACUUGUUAGAGUGCUGUUAGUCAUCAAAAUGAUAAUGUUUUAUUCCAGAGUUGUCAAUCGUCUGCCGAAACUGUUGAAUAAAAAACGUCGCCCCUUACACUUGGCAUUUUCGCGAAAAGUUUUUAUCGUUGUAGAAUGUUAUACGUUAUUUGUCAAAACUUACGUCUAACCAUAGGUUUUGCUCACAUCGAACCUGCAGAAUUUUCAAGUACAGUCUAUAGCGGCUUCAUGAAUUCGUAACUAUCCGACGCGGGCGAAAGUCCGUCGCAGUGAAGAAAGCCGAUUAUAAACCGGCGAGCGAGAGAAAACUUGCCACACCAAAGAAUAAAAUUUCCGGAGCAAGGAGCUCCGGAUUAGCCAUUCCGUGGAUGAAGCGAUUUUUCACGGUCUUGGCAGGAUGAUGCGACGCCUAACACCUGGUACACGGAACAACCCAUCGAAACGCACCCUACGAUCAUCCAGAAUGUGAUUCGUGGAAAAUAGCGUUGAUCACGAGUGCUGAAAUUCUCACUGUUCCCUCACGCUGACACAAUGACGGGUCGUAAUAACAAAUCGAUUGUACGGAUGCCGAAGACACGCACCCGUCGCGGGAGGGUCGUUUCCCCAGGAAAAACUAGGGAAGGCGGUGCAUUGGAGCGUGGAGUGUAUUUGGGGUGUCGUGCCCCCUUCGCGCGCGGGAGUCGCGUGUGAGGACACCGCAGGGGGUAACAUCCAGCUCCCAGGAUAUACCGGAAACGGUUAGGCGGUACCGGAUACAGGAGGCGCAUUAUUAGACAGGUGGCUGGGACUCCAUAGAACACAGAAGCUUGAUGACUAGAGCAAGUUCGGCCUUGUCAAUGAAGUUGCUGUGGGUGUAUUAUUAAAUGUAACGUCAACUUGCGUUUAAUGGACGUUACGUAGAAGUGAAAAUAUAAUUCCAAAAUCUUAGGCCAUAUGCAGCGCAAGAAAAGGAAUGAUUUAUCAAUGAUUUCCUGAUGCAAAUGUGUACGUAGUAAAAAUAGAAUGUUCUAUUCGUAAUACCUAUUGAGAUCAUUGCCGAGAUAACUUUAUCGCUGUUUGUCAAUGACAAAUGUCGGGGACGAAUCGUUCAUUAAAUGCUAUUCAAAGCUCACAUGCGUACAAAAUACAAUAUGCAUUCACAUUAACACCAACGAUUUUCAGCGUUUUACCGAUCAGAAAGAUUUUAUCUUUUUGUUUGCUUUCCCGGAAUAUUGUAAUCAAAGUUGGAAAUGUCAUUUUCAGAAAAGAGAAAAUUAUAGUUGUGCAGCAAGGAAUUUGUGUAUCGCAGAUUUUGUUAAAUUUUCAAAACAUCCAAAAAAUUAUAAACAUUUAAAAAAGAAAGUCCAUAUUCUGAGCUCACUUUUAUCGGUAAAUGUAUACCAAUUUUAAAAGUAAGAAUAAAUUUAAAAGUGCCAUAAUAAGUUAUAUUCUUGGAGCACUUUUAUAGUACUUUUAUCUUAGAGGUAUAUUUAUGAUAUAUUAAUUAUUAUGUUACACAUAAUUGCUUUUUGCAUGGCACUUCUUGCAUUGUGAUUGACCGCGUUUACUUUGCUCUGUCUCUCUACAUCGCAGCAAUAAUAAAUGCAAAGUAAAUACUUGUAUUUAAAGUGCACUUCUGCCAAAGUAUAAUUAAAUUGCACGAAAUAAAACACACGCUUGAAUUUUUAGAUUGAUGAUUUUGUUUAGAAAAUUUUCUUUACCAUGUCGUGUUUUUAUAGUUUUUUGUCAGACGAGAGUGUUACGAACGCGUUUUAUACUGAUCAAAUUUUUAACAUUGCUGAUGCAAUCAUCUGCCUUUUUGCAUUCCCUAUUUUUAAUACAUUAUUUAUUCUUUAUACGUAUUCUAAUAUUUUUAUAAUUUUUGCUACGUA